AUUUGUCGUUCAGAAGACUUCACUUUCCUCGGCUUUGGCAAAGGACCGGCCCCUAAAUUAUGAGUGUGUGUGUGUGUGUGUCCCUAUCCAUUUUCUGGGGUAUCCGCGCUUCUUUGGGAGUGAAAUUGCUCGGGCUGGUGCGUCUGGUCUUUGAGUGUGCCCGCCUGCCAGUGCCGGCUGCUGGAGGAAGAAAGGCUGCUAAGGAGAGAUGCUGCACCCUGCACCGCUCUGGGGCUUGAGGAUUCAGGGCGCGAAGAGCUAAGUUCACCCGGAAAGCAGCGCUGCUGGGGAUCCAGGCGUCCCCACCCACUGGGCUCCGCUCCGCGGUCAUCCUUCCUCCUGGUAAUCCCUGGGGUCUCCCCCAAGGCCACGCGCGUGAGUCUUCUCUUUUCUGACCAGCCUUGGGUGCUCCUUCAGCAGGGACUGCGGAGAGGAGGGAGGUGUGGCCGGGGCGGGGGGACAGGCAAGGGAGAGAUGCAGCGGGGGAGUGGGCUGAAGGGUCCCAGUCUCUGGGCACUCUGGCGGGUAUGCGUUGUGGAUUCUGCACGCACAGGCAUCUUUCCCUAGGAGAUUAGAAGGGAACUUUGCCGCUGCAUUAUCUGCUUCUGGAGCUUUGCUGGCUCUUGGGGAAAUGGUCUGUGUUCUGGGAUGUGAGGAUAUCCUUCUUGGCUCCUCCUUUAAUGAAGAAGAGGGAGGUCUUAUGGGUGGACAGUCGGCUACAGAAUCCGAAUCCACCCAGGCAAUGCUUUUAAAAAAUACGGUAUGUGUGCAUCCUUGAUUUUUAAAAUCUCCCAACCCUCAUGGAUUCUGUUGCCUGUUUGAUGAAUGGCUUGGGCUGGCAGUUUGUAUUUCCCUCUCCAGACAAAGUGGCAACCGUUGGAUUGAGAGCAUAGUGGUCCAAUGGAACAAAGAAUUUUUUUGAAAAAGCAAUAUGCAUGGUGUCCGCAGUCCUUGGAAAGAAAGUCAUGCUUUGCACUAGGUAUUUGUUUAACCCCCCCUUUGCCUGGCUCCCUUGCUGGCGCUAUCUCCUACUGCUAGUCAGCCACUAGUGGUUGUGAAUAUAACAAUACAAACUUUAUCCUGCUGGAGGUGUAAAGACUAAAAAGAGAAAUAAGGUAUCUCAGUAGGAGGUGUAGUGGAAGAAGCUUUUGUAAACCUGACAGAUGUGGUAAAGAACUACAGGCAUUGCUAUCAUGGAGGAGCUGGUGGAGUAGGUGGAGAGUCUGAUCAGAUCUGGUUAAAGGCAUAGAUUGAGUAUCUCCAAAUGGGAGCACUUGAAGUCCACGACCCAUCAUCUCUGUGAGGAUUUCCUAAGGGAAAUGAGAAGCAGCCAGGAAAGGGAUUCUGAAAGUGUUCCUCCCACCCACUACCUCCAAAACACACACACACACACACACACACACACACACACACACACACACACAAUUUUUCCUUUCUUUCUCAGAGCUACUCCUGCAGCCAUUCAGGAAAGCUGGUUCCUCUUUCAAAUUGUCUUACUUGGAUUUGGCUGUGUGGGUUUGCUAAACUUGCCUGAUUGCAAGAGGUUAGGUUGGUG
rnacentral:lncRNA from 1 species